GGGCGCAUAGCUCAGUGGUAGAGCACCUCGCUUACAACGAGGGAGUCACAGGUUCAAUCCCUGUUGCGCCCA
rnacentral:tRNA from 1 species